GAUGUCCCGGCCUUUCCUUGAACCAGUAGACCCUAAUGAUGCACCAGAUUAUUAUGGUGUUAUUAAGGAACCUAUGGAUUGACCUUUGUAAAGAAGAAAAACAUGUUAGAAGAAAAAUGGAAAAGAACUCUGCAUGCCCUCAGCUCAGAUGCCAUCUCCUCUGGGAGCUCCUCUGGCCCCUGCCAAGGCUGGAUCAGAUGCCCUCAGGGCACACACGAUGCUGAUCCAGGGCCAUCUGUGGCCCAGACUCUGGGUCCCUCAUGCAGCCCUCACCACUGCUCAGGAGGCCACAGGAACAGAGGAAUCACUGGCCCAUUUUACAGACGGGAAAGCUGGACCCGGAGAAGUGAAGCAACUUUCCUGACUCACAGUGGGUGAGGGCCUCCCACACUCUUUCCCCUGCCCCAUGCUGUUUCCAAGGGACUUCCACAGGCACAGGAAGCAGGCUGAGUGCAUAGCAGGAGUACAGCGCUGCUGCCCAGGGAUGGAGCAGGAGGGCCAGGGAGAGAGAGACAGGGGUGCCCCUGGUGCCCACAGAGACAGGUCUGUAAAGCCCAUGAACAAACUCUCAGCAGGGCGGGGACGGGUGAAUGGGGCUGGGGCCCACAACCCAUACCACAGGCACCUGGUCUACACAGGUCUGUAGGCCUGUGCAGAUACCUGGCUCCUUGACCAAGGAGGGUGAUAAGGCCCCACCUGACCCCAGAGAUUUCGCCACCUGGUUAGGUGGGCAGGAGGAUAGUCUCUCUGGAGCUCUGGGUCAUGGACUCUCAGAGGUAGGGAGUGAGUCAGCAUGGCCAAAAGGUGGAGACCCAGUCACCCACGGAUGCUUGGGAUGGGCGAGCCUCCUGGGGCGAAGCCUUCUAGGGUCUAGGGUCCCACAUGGUGGUCCCCGGAGGGCUUUCUGUUCUUCCAGGCCCUGCAGAGGAGACCAAGGCUCAGCUGGCAGCUGUGGGGCCAGAUUCUCCUCUUUGCCUAGGGGAGAGCCCCCGCAGCACCCCUUGAGAGCCCCUGGGGACCUGCCUGGGGCACACCCUGGCCCCCAGGAAGCCCGGCUCUGGGAGCACUGCAGCCAGGAUGGAGGAGGCAGUCUUCAGAGAGGCACUGUCUAGGCCAGCCCUGUGGGGAGGGAAGGCCAGAUGGGGGAACCUGGAGGGGCUUGUGAACUGGUUCCUGACCCUAGAAACCCAGCAGAGGUGGACUCGAAGCCCAUUCUGGGGAGAAGGCACCGGCAGGCUUCUCCGCCUGAGGUCUGCCCUCCUGAGGGUGCCAGGAGAGCACAGCCCUGGGAAGACUGUAGCCUGGGCUGUGACCUGAGGACUAGGAAGCGUUUAUGACAGACAUGGAGAGGCCUAAGUCCCUGCUGAAGCCCAGCAUCACAUCCCAUUCCUGAGCACCAAAGGCCCCAGGCCCUGGGUAAGAGAAGCUUCCUAAAGGGCAUCCUGAGGGCCCCGCCCUGAUCACCUCUUCUUUGGAGAAUUUCAGGAGGGAGGCUGGCAUGGGCCAGACAACUGGCUGGACAGGGAAGAGGUGGGAAUAUCUGGACCUCGCCUGCCUCUCGCCACACUCCCCGCUUCCCUCCUCACUGUAGCCAAAGUUCUCCCUGUGCUUUCCACCGACAGUUCAUGGCCUGUGCGUGCUAUUCCUUCUGUCUGGAACGCCCUUUUCCCCUUUGCUUCCCCUUUCUAAUUCGUCAUUUUUCAGGUCUCACCUUAGAAGUCACUUCCUCCAGGAAGUCCUUCCUGCCUUGUCCUCCUCUGAUCUGGGCUGGAUGUAAGCCUCUGUGCUUCCAGGACGUCCUGCCUCUCACCCUCACCCCCGGAUGGAGUUGCUGGUUUUCCCACCUGUCUCCCUCUCACCCUCACCCCCGGAUGGAGUUGCUGGCAUUCCCACCUAUCUCCCCUCUCACCCUCACCCCCGGAUGGAGUUGCUGGCAUUCCCACCUAUCUCCCCUCUCACCCUCACCCCCGGAUGGAGUUGCUGGCUUUCCAACCUAUCUCCCUCUCACCCUCACC
rnacentral:lncRNA from 1 species